GGCCUCGCCAAGGGGUGUUAACGCCAAGCCAUAGCUUAGCGAUUGACUGAGAUGUCCGCGGGACGAACCCUUAGAACCUGAUCCGGCUAAUACCGGCGUAGGAAUGGGCCACAUCACUAGA
rnacentral:ncRNA from 2 species